rnacentral:rRNA from 1 species
GUUGUGGUUAAAAAGCUCGUAGUUGGAUCUCGGCGGACUGAGGGCGGUUUGCUUGCUAGUAUUACUGCCCUAUAGUCCGUAGUUUUGCCAGAGGUUUCGGGGUGCUCUUAAUCGAGUGUCCCGGGAUGCUGGCAGGUUUACUUUGAAAAAAUUAGAGUGCUCAAAGCAGGCUAUUACGCCUGAAUAUUCGUGCAUGGAAUAAUAGAAUAGGAAGUCGUUUCUAUUUUGUUGGUUUUCGGAAAUCGACUUAAUGAUUAAUAGGGACAGUCGGGGGCAUUUGUAUUCAAACGACAGAGGUGAAAUUCUUGGACCGUUUGAAGACAAACUACUGCGAAAGCAUUUGCCAAGAAUGUUUUCAUUAAUCAAGAACGAAAGUUAAAGGUUCGAAGGCGAUUAGAUACCGCCCUAGUUUUAACCAUAAACGAUGCCAGCUAGCGAUCUGCGGACGUUUUUUUUGUAGACUCCGCAGGAAGCUUCCGGGGAACCAAAGCAUUUGGGUUCCAGGGGGAAGUAUGGUUGCAAAGCUGAAACUUAAAGGAAUUGACGGAAGGGCGCCACCAGGAGUGGAGCCCUGUGGCUUAAUUUGACUCAACAC